rnacentral:lncRNA from 1 species
GCAAAUGAAAAGGAAGAAGGAGGCAUGACCCUAAGUGAAAAUGCAAGUGACACUUAGAGCCACUUGACACACUUUCACCCAAAGAUGCGCAACUAAACUAUUACAAUGUUUAAUGGAGGACUUGGAAUUGCUUGGAAAUAAUUUUCCCAAGUCACACAAGUUUCAAAAAGGAAAAACAAUUAACAACAAAGGUUUCGUGAUACUAAGCCAAUAGUACAAGUAAAAGUGUUUGCAAAUAAACAACCAAGUGUGGCUGAUGUUUCAUAUUGCUGGAAUGCCAAAUUUUUUGGUAUGUUUUGCUACUGAAAAAAGGGCUGGAACAACAAUGUUCAAGUUCUCUUGGAGUCCAAGCUUGUGGCAACUUUAACAAGUCUUCCACUCCUUAAGAUGCUACCCCUUUGGAGAAACAAUCUAGAUAGUUAAAACUGCACCAUAAUGUCACAACAAGCCAAACAAACCAGUAAACACAGUUAGCACAAAACACGUUACUACAUCAGUUUUUCUUUCCAAACCAGGUUGCACUUUGGCAUUUUAGCAAACAGGUUGUGUACAAAAUUUCCAAACAAUGUAAAUCAAGAAAUUAAGGGCUGGAAAGGCAGGAUGGCACACAAAAGGAACAUAUGAUAUGCUUUAGAGUAGAUCAAUAAAACAAUUAAACGAAAACAAGCUGCAAUGGUGUCGAAAUCGAACUCAAUACAAAGUGGACAAAUCUGUUUGACAAAAUGCCCCAAAGGGAAACCAGAUUUGUGUCUAAAAAUUUCUGAUGUUGCUGAUGCAGAUUUGUUUAAAAUGGAUUGUACUGGUCUAGUUGAUUUUUAAAAAUGUGGUUAAUGAUAUUUUGAGGUAUAAUGCAAUAUUUGUGGUACCAAGUUAUUUCUACAAUCCAUACACAAUUGUGAAAUGCACAAAUCAAAUUCAAAACUUUUGCAGCAGCUGAUUUCUAGAGAAAAUAGGCUUAAAAUGGCUUAUUUGAGAGGCAUUUUUGUACAGAGAAAUUUAGACACCUAAUUUGAUGGUUGGAGCAACUUUGUAUCAAUAAUUUGAAGGUGUUCAAACAGUCAAACAGCCAAGAAACACACUAUAGCAGAAAUUGACUAGUUCACUUCCAAAUUAAAGCAAAUUUGAUGGUUUAGGAAGUGAUUUUGCACAUCGACUUAAAAUGGACCAAAUGAACAGUGCAUACAUGUUUCAAAUGGUAAAAUACAAUUACACAAAUGUUCACAAUGCACUGAAAUGAACAGAUUUGACAAAACACCUCUACUGUAGCCAAUUAUGCAACACUUUUUACACAAAAUUUGCACUAGAACAAGGGUGACAAUAGUAACUACAGUAGUCAAAAUGAAUUGCAGUGUACUCAAGGCUUAAAGGAUACUUCAAACAGGUUUAUAUUAUCAAAUGGAAUGUGUGCAAACUGUGAAACAAUGAAGACAAAGUCCAGUUCAAAAUUUCACUGGUUCACUUCCCAAAUUUGACAAAAGUUGGCUGUUUCAAAUGUGAAGUUGCACCAAACGCCGAAAAAUUACAAAUUCAACAGUUCACACAAGUUUGUACUGAGCAGAUACACUUAUACAAAUGUUCAAAUAGUACAAAUAGACACAAAUUUCCCAAAUGACAAUAGCAAUUGCUUAAAAUGUAUAAAAAUAAAGUUAAAUUACAGUAGAAUGAAAAUUUCAGUAGAGUCAAUGUUGGCUAGUUCAAUCAAAUGCAGAGGAAUUAUCCUAAUCAACUAGAUCUAGUUGCAGAUGAUCAACUAGGAGAUAUUAAGUGACCUCAGAUUCAACAAUGACAAAAGCACGGUGCAAAACUUGUGGACAACGUUUGACAAUUUCUGAAAACUUGAAAGUAAUCAACUCAAUCAUUCAUUUGGCAAAUUUGUGAUUCAUAUGAGUUAUGAUACUUCUAGCAAUGCUUAACAACACUAAAGAAACUUGUUCAAAGCUUUAAAAUCCAGAAAUCUGAACAGAAACAGAUUAUAGCAAAUCAAACUAGAAAAUGAUUAUUCUGCAAAAUUUGGAUUGGAAAAAUCAAUGUGCACUGGUGUAAGCUCAAAUGAUCAAAGUUGGACAUGAUGUCAUUGCUUAUACGAUCAACAUAUAGCUUGCAACAAACUGGACACACUUAAAAACUGAAAAAUUAAAGUUGGAGUGGAUUGAAACCAGUGAAACACGACAAUCACUUGCACAUGAUCGAACAAAAUUGGAAAAUGAAAAUUAAAAGCUUAAAUGACGAAAACCAAUGAACUGCACCGAUUAAAAUAAUAAAGAAACAGUAAGGAACAGUGAAAGAAAGCAAUUAUCCACUCAAACACAAAAUCAAACCAGGAAAUGUAAUGGAACAGUGAAAACAAUGAACAAAACAACACGAAAGAAAGAAAAAUUGAAAGAAAUAAUACUUAGCUCUUGAAGCAUGGUGUGGAUUCAACUGGCUCUAGAUGUCAAAUGAUGGAAGCGACCUCCACCUUCAAGAAUGGAGUGGCUCCUUGAUUCAGAAGUGGCAGCGGAAUGAAGAAUGGAUUGGAGAUGUUCUGUGAUUGCAAGGUGUUUGUGGUAAUGUGUGACUAUGUUUGGAUGUGGUGUGAAGUGAAGUUCUAACUCAGAAAGCUUUCCUAAGGGGAAAUGAGCUAGAGGGAGAGCAAGCUAAAGAGGCUCUAAGUUUGAACUCGAGAGAAUGGAUGGAUUUUGGCAGCAUUUCAUUAUCAUACUCAAGUUAUUUAUACAAGAGAUCAAGCUUCUUUUUUAUAGAUGGAGAAGAGUAAUGAGUCGUGUAGAGGAAGCUACGGGAAUGUGCAAAUACAUGUGUUGAAAAUGCAUAUCCCACGUGGAUUUCAAGCUCUAUGCCAAACACUUUUAUCACGUGUUUAAUGAGUUAAAUGCUGACUUUGAUAUGGCUAAGCGAAGAAGGGUUUUGGUUGGGCACCCUUCUUUUCCUUUGAUAUUUCAAGGCAUCUUUUCAUUCAUCUUUAGCAUUCUUGUUGAAUUCUGUGUGCCUUCCUUUGCUUGGCCAUCUUUGGCAAGGUUUUCCUCCUUUAUUUGGUGAUCUACAAAACAAAAUAAAUGUAUCUUAGGUAAAG